AUGGACCAGUCGUGUUCCCUCAGUGGGCUGCAUUGUGCUUUACUCAUUGCUAUGCUUUCCAAAUCAUCUAUCUAUAAUGCCAUUCUUCCAUUCCCUGUAUCCCUAAAUUCCAUUCAUCCUUCAAAGCCCAACACAAGUAACAUCUCUGCUUGGAUGCUUUCCCUGAUACGUUACGAUCUAGAUGUCAAACAUCUGUGCUCUUGUGCAGUCUUUUAUAUACACCAUCCUAGCACUCAGCCUGAUUUAAUAAAACAUUUAUUAAAAUACACACACACACACACACUCACACACACAAUGUGUUUCUUGAAGGCAGAAACCAUAGCUGACUCAUCGUUACACCUCCAGGCACCCAACAGCCAAAAUGAUGGGUUCACCUUCAGCCACAUGCAACGGACAACGGGCCAUCAGAGCUGCCUGAAACAGGAUGCUGAUCAGAUCCAGUUGUAAAGUGGGAGCCUUGGUGUGUGCCUCAGUAUCCGCAGAAGGACCUCCAAACUCCUCUGAAUAUGAGACCAAAGAUCCCCAAACUCUUCCAAGCAUGAGACAAUUCAAGAAAAGACAGCCUGGGGUCAGCUCAACAACCCUCUCCAGCUGUGUGUGUCCCUCUGUGUUCCCACAUUUGGUUCCAUCCCUGUGACCAGGACAUGGCCUGGUAGGUCCUGCUCCAUCAUUUUCCUUCCACUCAGAAUGCUCUUUCUGCCCAUCUUCUGGCCCAAAGCAGAUUUCCCCAUGCCCUGGUGCAAAGGUCCUGCCUGUAAGAAGCUUCCCUCAGCCUCCCCCAUUCCUUGCCUGGGUGACGGUCUCUCUCCCUUGAGCUGCUUCUGCACUUUCUCCUUGAUUCCGUUGCUUUGUGCUGACUAGAUCCUGCCAGACGUCUCUCCCAAGCUGGAGGGAGGCCCAUCAAAGGCAGCAUCGAGGCAGCCACUGCCACACCUCUGCCUAGGCAAAGCCUUCCCCACCUGAAUGGGGUCUGCGGAUCAGGGUGAGAUCUAGAGAGGUCUCUGAACAUAAAAAUUCAGGCUGAGCAUUCCCCUUGACCUGUAGUAGUGAUGAUCUCCUGCAGGACGGAAGAGGAAGUGGAAUAAAUUACAAAACAUCAGUCUUACCAAAUCUACAUCAGUAAGAUCAUUUUAAAAGGAAAUUGGAUAUGUUCUUAAUUACUAGGUCAGUAGUAAGUUUUAUUUGCAGGGGUGGAAUACUGUUGUGGGAGGAAAUUGAUACAUGACAUGUGGAGAGACAGAAUGGAAGUAAAAUAACAAAAAGUUUAUUUUGUCAACAAAAGGCUGAUCACACUAACAGCAAUGCCAGAGAUUGACCCCUACUGCCUUGCAGCUCCCUCUUUUAUAGGGUUUUACAGCCUUGAUCUCAUUCAGGUGUUGACAUUUCAUUUUCUCAGUUCAUAUUACCAAUAUACAAACCAUGGUCACAAGACAGUUAACUUUCAACCCAGAUGUAGCAAUUCUUUGUAGUUAGGGGAGAGUUAGGGGAACCUUUAAGAUUUGCCUAGCUAUCUAUCCUAGCUCAUAGGACGGGGAUGUUCAGGGUCGGGAAAGCAGAUGUUAACAAAGGUUAUUUUCAUCUUGACACUUUUACAAUCGUGGUUUACAGAACUUUGGGGCUCAGGGUCUUAAUGUGCCCUGUUGUCUCAGGAUGAGACCAGAUGCCUCAUUCAGUGGCUAAUGCCUCUGGUGUCUGUUAAUUCUGAACUCAACAGAGCAAACUGCUAUUAGAGACACCAGAAGCCACACUGCAUUGUGACAUUUUGUAGGUGUUGCUAUUUACAAGAGUUUUCUCUACAAAUACAGUGAAGCAGAGAACUGUCCAGUUGGGGUGCAGUGAAUUCCUGAUCUCGCUAGGCUGGGAACCAACCGGGCCUCACUCCUAUCAGAGAUUUCAGGGCCAACAUGAAGGCAAGUCAGAGGUUGAGUCUGAACUUACCUCACGCAGAGCUUGAAAGCAGCUCAUUUCACAGGCACGAUUUCAUUUUAAAGGUUUGCACCACUGAGACUGAAACCAAAAAACAAACAAAACUAAAUACUGUAGAUUCCAAGGCCCCCUGACUAGGCUUCUUCAGCAAGCUUUUCUAAAAGAAAAAUGCAGGUAAACCACAACAGGAGCCCAAAAACUAACCAGGAAUCCAGAGAGUGAAGGUUUAACCUGAAGCUACUUCGGUGAUGUGGCUUUAUUGGGUCGGAUGUACUUCCCUUACACUUUUAUCUGACGCAGCCCCUAGGCACUGUAGGGAGACCUCCGUGGCUUUCAGCCCCACUUCCAUGAUUAAUUUUCACUCCAUCAUGAGAUGCCUGGCUGGAUCCCUCUGCUUCACACCACAAGUGCAGGCCCCAGGAAAACUUCUUCUCUUUUAAAUCUGAUAUGUCCAUAAAUGGCCCACACUAUGGGUUGAAUUAUGUCCCCUCACCCCCGUGCUGAAGCCCUGAGUUUUGGUCACUCAAAAUGGAGUUGCUGGGAAAUGGGAGGUCACCUUAACAGGGGGCUGUGAGGGGACCCCUGUCCAAAUGAUGGUGCCCUGGUAAGGAGAGGAGAUGGGAGCAGGUGAUGCCUGUGGCAGCCCAGGAGGGCAGCUCCUCACCUGCAGGUCAAGGAGCAGAACCAUGUCAAUCAACUUCCAGCCUCCACAGCCAUGAAAACACUCUUCUGUCCUUUACCAUCUCUGUCUUUGGUAUUUGUUAUGACAGCUCCCAAAAACUAACUAAUAAAGCCCACAAACAGGGACCUCUGAUCCCGAAGCCACCAAUAAAGAGGUCAACUGAACUUGGCCCUGUGCUCAGAUCCAUGCCAUGCAUUUUUACCUGCCCUGUUGGUUCUAAAGAGAAUGUGAAAGGAAGUUUAUUCUUCACUUUUUAAGCUUUACUAAAGUUUGCCCUUUACCAACUUGAGGUUGGAAGGGAGGUUUCUAAGGAAAAACACCAAUGAAUUUCUGAAGUACAGUGUGAGUGCUGGGGAUCCCCGCUAGGGCCACAGGUCAGACCCCUCAGACCACACCGUAAGCCACACAGGGACUGACUCUCCCCGCACCGGCCUGCACCCUCCUGCCUCGGCUUCUCCAGGCUCCACAGGGAACCCAGGCCAAACACUGAUGCCCAGGGAGCUGUAAUGGGAGGCAGAAGGGGUCAAAAGGAAGCCUGCUACUGGUAAGGGCAGGAGAGGGAAGGCUUUGCUGGGGGAACCCUGGAUCGGCUGUGCAUGCACAUUGCCUGGCACCCGCACCCCAACCCAGUUGCACUCCCCGCAUCAGCCUGGCCUCCACCCAGAUGCAGCUCCUGGCUCUGAUUCUGCUUCCCAAGGCCCCAUCUGCCCAGUAAGUCAGCUCCGUCUUCCCUUCUGCUCCCUCCCCUUCUAAGCAAUGCGUCCUGUAUCCAUGGAAACAACUUCUAGAUUCAAGCGGAUUAGGUGGAAGUCUUGGCAGGAAAGAGGAAGACCGAGGAAGAGGACAGACAGUGGGGCAGUGACUUUGCUUCCUUUAAUCCCUUCUGCCUUUUGUGCUUUCCUUUGCAUAACACACAAACACACACACAGUUUUCUUUUUGUUAGAAACUGCUAGUCAUAGCCUACGUGUGAAAACAUUGUGAUCAAUUUCUUUCACAUACUUAAUGUAUAAGAAAUGCAAUCAUAAAAAUAAAAAUGUAUGAGGUGGUUUAGCUGGGAUUGAUAAGCAUGCCAGUAAUCCCAAAAUUCUGGGAGGCUGAGGCAGGAGGAUUGGGAA
rnacentral:lncRNA from 1 species